GAUCAUGGCUCAGGAUGAACGCUAGCUACAGGCUUAACACAUGCAAGUCGAGGGGAAACGACAUCGAAAGCUUGCUUUUGAUGGGCGUCGACCGGCGCACGGGUGAGUAACGCGUAUCCAACCUGCCCAUCACUUGGGGGAUAACCUUGCGAAAGUAAGACUAAUACCCGAUGAUAUCCCUAGAAGACAUCUGAAAGGGAUUAAAGAUUUAUCGGUGAUGGAUGGGGAUGCGUCUGAUUAGCUUGUUGCGGGGUAACGGCCCACCAAGGCAACGAUCAGUAGGGGUUCUGAGAGGAAGGUCCCCCACAUUGGAACUGAGACACGGUCCAAACUCCUACGGGAGGCAGCAGUGAGGAAUAUUGGUCAAUGGGCGAGAGCCUGAACCAGCCAAGUAGCGUGCAGGACGACGGCCCUAUGGGUUGUAAACUGCUUUUGUGCGGGGAUAAAGUGUGGGACGUGUCCCAUAUUGCAGGUACCGCAUGAAUAAGGACCGGCUAAUUCCGUG
rnacentral:rRNA from 1 species